GCUCCUUUUCUCCUCGGCUUAAGUCUGCUCCCUGGCCAUGUGCAAAUGAUUAGUUCUGAGUAAUUUACCAUAAUCAGUUGCAGAUAGGAUUGUGGUGUCCAAAAGUCUGAAAACAUACAGCUUGUCCAAAAACAGAAAUUGAGAGAUCAUUACGAACCCUGAAUGAUAAACAGCAUAUAACAGUAUAUAGAGCAAGGCAUUCCAAAAUGCACAUUGCGUCUUCAUCAUGUUUCAUAACAGUGCCACUUCCAAAGAUCAGUAUGAUACUGG